rnacentral:rRNA from 1 species
UACGGAGGGUGCUAGCGUUGUCCGGAAUUACUGGGCGUAAAGCGCACGUAGGCGGCGAUUCAAGUCAGAGGUGAAAGCCCGGGGCUCAACCCCGGAACUGCCUUUGGAACUAGAUUGCUAGAAUCCUGGAGAGGCGAGUGGAAUUCCGAGUGUAGAGGUGAAAUUCGUAGAUAUUCGGAAGAACACCAGUGGCGAAGGCGACUCGCUGGACAGGUAUUGACGCUGAGGUGCGAAAGCGUGGGGAGCAAACAGG